GCCAGGUGUGGUGGUGCAUGCCUGUAGUCCCAGCUACUUGGGAGGCUGAGGUGGGAGUAUCACUUGAGCCCAGGAGGUCAAGGCUGCAGUGAGCCAAGAUUAUGCCACUGCACUCCAGCCUGGGUGACAGAGUAAGAUCCUGCCUCAA
rnacentral:SRP_RNA from 1 species